AAGCAACAGAUGAGCCGAUUUGGGCAUAUGGAAGCUUUGCGAUUGGGUGUGAAGCUGAUAAUUUGGGCAUGCCAGAAUAAGAAACAGGUGAGCCGAUUUGGGCAUAUUUAAGCUUUGCAAUUGGGGUUGAAGCUGAUAAUUUGGGCUUGCCGGAGUAAGCAACAGGUGAGCUAAUUUUGGCAUUUUGAUUGACUCUUCUCCUUGCUUUAUCAUUUGCUUCACCCGUCUAUUUUUGACCCAUCGAUAGAAAUACAUAGCGUUUAAUAUAACUUUGCGAUUGGAGAUGACUCCACCGAAAAUGUUCUUCACCCAUUGAUUUUUGAAAAAGAUCAUAUUAACGUCUGGCUACCGAUAUCUCCACCUUCGAAUCAAUACGUCUUAAUUUUUCUUUCCCUUCUUUUCUCUAAAUCUCUCGAUUGUGCAAUUUUUUUUUAAAUGCUAUGGAUUGUAUACCCACUAUCCAAAUUUAAUUUGUGAUUGGAUUCUUUACCUUUGAUAUUUACUUUAAGAUUGUAAAAAUCUGUCUUAAUGAUGGGAGUCAUUAAGGGGAUUGGAAGAUAUUUUACAGGUUUCUAACUUUUUUUAGUAAUAGCUUGAUUUUUUUUUUCUAAUGAUUUCAUCAGUCAUACAUAAUUAUCAUUUUUCGGAAUUAUCUUUUUUUUUUUAUAUAUAUAUCUUUCUUUAUAUGUUAAAAGUGUAAUUUCUUGGUUUAACAAUGUUUUGUACAGAUUUUGAUGGCUCUUAUUAUCUUUUUACAAUGUAGGAUAGUGAACAUGAAGUUGUAAACGAUGUGGGUGCUGAAACUGGACAUGAGAUACGAACAACUAUUGGUGGUCGAAAUGGGCAAUCUAGGCAGACGGUCAGUUACAUUGCAGAACAUGUGGUUGGAACUAGUUCUUUCAGUGUUGUUUUCCAAGUAUGUAGAAUCAUAGUAUUUUUUUUUAAUAAUUGAAGCUAUUUCUCAACUUUUUUCGCCAAAGAUAUUGAAUGAUGAUGAUAAUGUAAACCUCUUUCUCCAGGCUAAAUCGAAACCGGAGACAUUGUUGCCAUCAAGAAAGUUCUUCAAGACAAGCGCUACAAGAACAGGGAAUUGCAGAUUAUGCAAAUGUUGGAUCAUCCUAAUAUCGUCGCACUAAAGCACUAUUUUUUCUCAACAACAGACAAAGAAGAGCUUUAACUGAACCUUGUACUUGAAUAUGUCCCCGAGACUGUUCACCGUGUUGCCAGAAAUUAUAGCAGGAUUAACCUAAGAAUGCCCCUGAUAUAUGUUAAACUCUACACAUAUCAGAUUUGCAGGGCACUUGCUUAUAUCCACAAUUGCAUUGGUAUUUGUCACCAGGAUAUCAAGCCUCAAAACUUACUCGUAAGAUUCUUUUCUUAGAGCAUAUAGUACUUGUGUAGAUAAGACUUGUUGGUGUUUGCCAAAAUAACAAUUUUGGAAAGUGAAAUUAGAAAAUGACAUUUCAUUUUUACACUUCUCAACCUACUUGGUCACUCUUGCUUUCGUCAUGUAAAAGUAUAUCGAAUCGAUUUCAUCUAACAAAUAUUUGUCUCAUAAGUCAUUUUGCAAAAGAGCCUCUUGAGACUUGUCCUAUAAAACUCCAGUUUCCCUAAUGUUUGUAGGGUAUGUAAGAAAAAUUAAUUGUCAAGAGUGACACUUGUUAGUGUGAGAAUUAAGAAUUUGGUGAUAUUUGUAGGAAUUACUGUGAAAGAUGUUUAAAUACUUUUGAAUGGUGU